rnacentral:rRNA from 1 species
GGGUAAUACUUUCUUUCGCAUGAAGGAAAGUUGAAAGAUGGCUUCUUGCUAUCACUUACAGAUGGGCCCGCGGCGCAUUAGCUAGUUGGUGAGGUAACGGCUCACCAAGGCGACGAUGCGUAGCCGACCUGAGAGGGUGAUCGGCCACACUGGGACUGAGACACGGCCCAGACUCCUACGGGAGGCAGCAGUAGGGAAUCUUCCGCAAUGGACGAAAGUCUGACGGAGCAACGCCGCGUGAACGAUGAAGGUCUUCGGAUCGUAAAGUUCUGUUGUUAGGGAAGAACAAGUACCGUGCGAAUAGAGCGGUACCUUGACGGUACCUAACGAGGAAGCCCCGGCUAACUACGUGCCAGCAGCCGCGGUAAUACGUAGGGGGCAAGCGUUGUCCGGAAUUAUUGGGCGUAAAGCGCGCGCAGGCGGUUCCUUAAGUCUGAUGUGAAAGCCCACGGCUCAACCGUGGAGGGUCAUUGGAAACUGGGGAACUUGAGGACAGAAGAGGAGAGUGGAAUUCCACGUGUAGCGGUGAAAUGCGUAGAUAUGUGGAGGAACACCAGUGGCGAAGGCGACUCUCUGGUCUGUUUCUGACGCUGAGGUGCGAAAGCGUGGGUAGCAAACAGGAUUAGAUACCCUGGUAGUCCACGCCGUAAACGAUGAGUGCUAGGUGUUAGGGGGGCUUCC